rnacentral:rRNA from 1 species
GAUGAACGCUGGCGGCGUGCCUAAUACAUGCAAGUCGAGCGAACGGACGAGAAGCUUGCUUCUCUGAUGCUAGCGGCGGACGGGUGAGUAACACGUGGAUAACCUACCUAUAAGACUGGGAUAACUUCGGGAAACCGGAGCUAAUGCCGGAUAAUAUUUUGAACCGCAUGGUUCAAAAGUGAAAGACGGUCUUGCUGUCACUUAUAGAUGGAUCCGCGCUGCAUUAGCUAGUUGGUAAGGUAACGGCUUACCAAGGCAACGAUGCAUAGCCGACCUGAGAGGGUGAUCGGCCACACUGGAACUGAGACACGGUCCAGACUCCUACGGGAGGCAGCAGUAGGGAAUCUUCCGCAAUGGGCGAAAGCCUGACGGAGCAACGCCGCGUGAGUGAUGAAGGUCUUCGGAUCGUAAAACUCUGUUAUUAGGGAAGAACAUAUGUGUAAGUAACUGUGCACAUCUUGACGGUACCUAAUCAGAAAGCCACGGCUAACUACGUG